AAACUGGAGAUUGUGUUGCUGGGAGCUGAACUCAAACAGAAGUCCAGAUGUUCUUCAGUGUUAUUAGAAUGAUAAUUGGCCAUGAGAUACAAACUCACAAAGGUCACUGUUAUCUAAUGGGAAGUUCAUUUGAGACCCUCAUCUUCAAAGCUGGUGCACAGAGUGUUCAACUGGAGACUUUUUGGGCCACCAAUGAGAGGAAAGAGAUGGACUUUUGCGGUGGCAAACUGUGAAGGAGAGAAAAGUUUUGUUUGGACUUUGAAAGAUCACUGUUCUGUUGUGUUACUAAGUUCUGUUUUUAUUAAAGGUAAAUGUAGACCCCUGUGCAA